UACGUAGGGGGCAAGCGUUGUCCGGAAUUAUUGGGCGUAAAGCGCGUGUAGGCGGCUUGUUAAGUCGGGUGUGAAAGCCCUCAGCUCAACUGAGGAAGGGCGCCCGAAACUGGCGAGCUUGAGUGUCGGAGAGGAUGGCGGAAUACCCCAAGUAGAGGUGAAAUUCGUAGAUAUGGGGUGGAACACCGGUGGCGAAGGCGGCCAUCUGGACGACAACUGACGCUGAGACGCGAAAGCGUGGGGAGCAAACAGG
rnacentral:rRNA from 1 species